rnacentral:misc_RNA from 1 species
CCUGAAUGAUAGUGAUUGUGCAGUGUCCACACAGAUUGUCUGAUGAAAAUAGAGUAUCACGGUAUAGGCUUGUAGCUCAGGUGGUUAGAGCGCACCCCUGAUAAGGGUGAGGUCGGUGGUUCAAGUCCACUCAGGCCUACCAGACACGUUGACUCCUGGCUCUUUUCAGGGUGACCCGGUGCGGAUGCAGCGGUGUCAUCUGUGUUGAACGGCGGGCGGGGAAACGGUCUGCGCAGUUGUCUGACAGGCCGGUGAUAACACUGUAUGGGGCUAUAGCUCAGCUGGGAGAGCGCCUGCCUUGCACGCAGGAGGUCAGCGGUUCGAUCCCGCUUAGCUCCACCAUACGAAUCAUUUCAGAACCCAUGGGGAAAACGCCCGUGUGUUGUGAAAUUUUUGCUCUUUAACAAUCUGGAACAAGCUGAAAAUUUGAAACAAUCAGUGCCGUCACGGACGGGACUGAUGAGUCUCUCAAAACGCACACCCGAAGACACCUUCGGGUUGUGA